rnacentral:lncRNA from 1 species
GCUGCCUUUACUGAUAGCCUCAAAUUGGAGUUUCUUCCUUGUGUAAUUUAAGAUGUUGAAAAAUGCAUUUGUACUAAAUGCAUUUAAAUAAGAAACAAAGAUAACACAAUGCUAAUAAGAAGUCUAGAAAUUGUGUGAAGCUACCUUCAUUUUUCUCUGCAAUCUCUUAUUCUCAUUUUCUAAAUUGUAUUACAUCCAGAACUAAAAAUCUUUCUCCCUUCCUUUUUUUCCUUCUUUUCUCCAUCCUUCCCUCAAAUACUUCUUACAAGUUCACUUCUUAAUUGCUUCUAUGCAAAGGGCUGUGCUAGUUGCCUACUCUGCAAAGGUAAAUGAUACCACUCCCUCUCUUCCCCUCAAGGACUUACAGGUGGGAAGGGAGAGCAGAUGCAGGCAUAAAGUAGCACUCCCUCUGAAAGAGGUUAGUGCCGACUGCUGUCAUUAAGUUUUCUUCCUAUGAGAGUUAGAGAAGGUUUAAAAGAGGAAUUACCAGUCUCUUGGGGAGAGGAAAUGAGACUAAAAAAUGACAGAGCAAUGGAAAGGAUGCGGCCUGGACAGGAGUUGGGUAAAACCAACUGGAGAGGAAAUAAUCUAAGUAGAACAGCCCAUCAGCUAUAUGGCUGUUCAUGCUGCUUCUUGGCCAUAGAAUCUCAGAGAAGCCAUUUUGCUCCCCUGUGAGCCCUGUUUUCCCCAUACAUAAAGUGGGUGUGAUAAAAAUGACUUGCCCCAGAGGGCUAAGCCUUAGCAUUUGCCCCUUGCCUGUCUCUGUGGAGUUUACAGCCUUGGCUUAUGCAGGUCUCAGCCUCAUGUCACAUCCCAUGGAGGCCUUUACUUAACAGGCCUUCUAAAAUAAUACUCCAGUCACUCUAUUUUUCUUCAAACUGAUUGUUUGCUUACUGUAUGAUUUCCUGUCUCCCCAACUCAAAUACAAAGCUGUUUCCCCAGUGCUUAUAACAGUAGUUAAAUUCAAUAUUUGUUGCAUGAAGAACAAUAUGUGUACAUUUUUAGCAUAAUACUUCACACAUCAUGUUGAACAUUAUAUGUGCACAUAUAUAGUAUGUAGUGAGUAUUAAAUAUAUGUAUACACACACACUCCUUAAUGCCAUUUGAGUCUGUGUGUUUGUUUUGUUUUGUUUUUGUCUCAUGUCUAUCUCUUCUAUGUUUUUAUUUCUUGGUGAAAUUCCUUUUGAGAAACUUCAGUCCUAUCUCCCUUAAAGGAGGAGUGAGUUGUAGUUGUCCAAACUAACAGAUAACUUGGGGGAGACAGCACAUCCAGAGGCCAGAUCUAGAAGUGCAGAUUUCCAGAUUCCCAACUUUUGGGGGUUCAGUUUCAAAUACUGGAUAUGGGACACCAGCUUUAAGUUUCUCCUUAAAUUAAGAUUGUUUUGAGUUAAAAUUACUCCUUAAUUAUUGCACUG